rnacentral:rRNA from 1 species
UACGUAGGGGGCAAGCGUUGUCCGGAAUCAUUGGGCGUAAAGCGCGUGUAGGCGGCUUCGUAAGUCCGUUGUGAAAGUCCAGGGCUCAACCCUGGAAUGCCGAUGGAUACUGCGGAGCUAGAGUCCGGAAGAGGCGAGUGGAAUUCCUGGUGUAGCGGUGAAAUGCGCAGAUAUCAGGAGGAACACCAAUGGCGAAGGCAGCUCGCUGGGACGGUACUGACGCUGAGGCGCGAAAGCGUGGGGAGCAAACAGG